UACAGAGGGGGCGGAGCGUUGUUCGGAAUUGACUGGGCGUAAAGGGCGCGUAGGCGGCCAACUAAGUCAGACGUGAAAUCCCUCGGCUCAACCGGGGAACUGCGUCUGAUACUGGAUGGCUUGAAUUCGGGAGAGGGAUGCGGAAUUCCGAGGUGUAGCGGUGAAAUGCGUAGAUAUCUGGAGGAACACCGGUGGCGAAGGCGGGUCUCUGG
rnacentral:rRNA from 1 species